rnacentral:rRNA from 1 species
CGUAGCGCGGUGGUCCCACCUGACCCCAUGCCGAACUCAGAAGUGAAACGCCGUAGCGCCGAUGGUAGUGUGGGGUCUCCCCAUGCGAGAGUAGGGAACUACCAGGC